GAUGAACGCUGGCGUACAGGCGUUAACACAUGGCAAGUCGCGGGGCGAGCGGGGCGUAGCAAUACGCCUGCCGGCGACCGGCGCACGGGUGAGUAACGCGUAUCCAACCUGGCCCUUAGUAGGGGAUAGCCCGGCGAAAGUCGGAUUAAUACCCUAUGUUCUCUGCAGCGGACAUCUAACGCAGAGCAAAGACUUGUCGCUAAGGGAUGGGGAUGCGUCCGAUUAGCUUGACGGCGGGGUAACGGCCCACCGUGGCUGCGAUCGGUAGGGGUUCUGAGAGGAAGGUCCCCCACACUGGUACUGAGACACGGACCAGACUCCUACGGGAGGCAGCAGUGAGGAAUAUUGGUCAAUGGGCGUAAGCCUGAACCAGCCAAGUAGCGUGCGGGAUGACGGCCCUACGGGUUGUAAACCGCUUUUGUGCGGGAAUAACGUACGCCACGUGUGGUGUAGUGCAUGUACCGUACGAAUAAGGAUCGGCUAACUCCGUGCC
rnacentral:rRNA from 1 species